AGGGUGCACAAAAACAGGAACUAAUGGAGUCAAAAACUGUUAGGAUGUCGCAUGGCUGCAGUUGUGUGACCCCGUGGAUGCAGGAGUCCAGGAGAGAAUUGAGUGAAGAUGAAAUGUCCAGACCAAGGUCUUCGUCCCCACAAAGCAGGAGGCUACCAUGGAGCGGCCGAGGACCUUACAAACCCUUUGCAGUACACAAUAUGAGUCGAUCCGACUCUAGUCCCACGCCCAGAGAUGAAAAUCACUGGUUCCGUGACGGCAUGAUGCCGGAAGACCUAAGAAGAGGCUCCCCUUCUUCGCUGGAUCACUUUUGGCGUCACCAGGAUCAAGAUGGGUGUUACGGUCGGAGGGCAUCUCCUCGCAAUACGAUGAGCCGCCAUGCCCCGGGUUAUUUUUCCCAGCGUGAUCAAGGAUCAAGUGCAGAAAGACAAAGAAAAGGCUUCAGAGAAGAUAUGCAAGAUUUUAAUAAGAGGGAGUGGUCACCAUCUUCCCCUUCGAGGUUCCAGAAAGAGCGCAUAGCCCCGAAUUCACGUUUGGAUCACUCACCAACAAAGGCAGGCUGGAGGCGGGAUGAACGGGGGCAGGGCGAUGGGCGGUUCAGAGACGCCAGUCCCAACUUGAGGUCGGAUGAGCAAAGAGGAAGCAGAAGAGAGAAGCACAUUGAGGGCUCGUACAGAAGCAGACCAAGAGAGGAUCUGCACCAAGAGAGGAGCCCCCCCUGGAAGAAGCCAAGAAAAGACAUGGACCCCCAGCAUCACAGCGGGUUCAAGCGGGACAACAAGGACUUUGGCGAACGUCGCAACUUACCCGCAUUUGAAGGAGUCCACAGAGGGGGUCCUCCUCUUACAGAUGCUCACAGAUCAGGACCACAGACCUUUGAUUACGAUCACAACAGUUCAGGCAACUGGAGGUCACCCAGACGGGAGCAUAUGGACCACGGAGACCAUGGCUUUAACCUGCACAGACAGUCUGGUCCAUCUAGCUCCUCGCAGGAGCGAUUCAGGACCUCAAAUAACAAGCCUGAUGUCCGGGAAGAUUCCAGAAGACGCCCCUUUGCAGAUAAUUCGAGGGACGACUAUGAGCGCAAGAGGAGCCCACCGCCACAAGAGUGGGGAAAAGUCACCGGAGUUUCCAGACAAGAUGGUCAAAGAGGGAGAGGUGGUCCUCGUCAUGCGAGAGGUAGGCUCAGCCACAACCAGGGAAGAAACUUCGGACCCCACAAGUACCGGCAGAACUUUCAGCCGUCUUCUCGGGGAUUCCACGGUGCUGCUCGUGAGGAGAAGAGAGCCGGAUUCAGACCCCAAAAGGAAGCUCAUUACACAAAUGCAGUGGAAGAGGAGGAGCAAAGCUGGAGUGAAGAAGACGGCCACCUUGGGCAGAACAGGCCUGCGAGUCUGAAACCCCUUUUGCAGAGGGACUCACCAGUAAUGGCGCGGAAGUUGCCGGGUAACGAGCGGGAGGAGAAGAAGCUCAAAAACAUGACUGUGGUAACAGAGGAGACGCUAACCAUUAAAGUGGACAUGAGCCGGCCGGCGCACACAAGCAGCAGCACGCAGUGUUACUCCGCAGACCACCAGCUCUCGCUAGACCUGGUCAACGUGGGCCGUCAGCGUCUGGACUUCCUAGCCUCCUCGGCGGAGUCGUCCGAGAGCCGCCAGGAGGGCGUCGGCGGCGUGAAGACAGCGACGUUCGCGCAAGAAGUCAUCACGCUGGUGCACCAUGUCAAAGAGCUCUACUUCAAAGGCCAAGGGAUCACGCUGAACAAACGCUUCUCCGCGCCCCAAAAAGCCCCACCCGUCCAUAGCGAAGACGAGGCGAAAAUGACGUUGGACAAGAGGUUUACAUCCAAACACUUCAACCCGAAAGAUCUUCAGGACAACAACUUUUCCCAGCCCGCGUACGCCCCCCAGGGUGACCUGAGAUACGACCUGGAGCGCCGGCGGCAAGAGCGUGUGGACGGCGUGACCAUAACGAUACCGGGAAGCGGCCACCAAGGCGAGGCCAGCACGGUUCAGUUCGGCGGCGAGGACGUGAUGUUUGCAGAAGUGCAGGACUUUGGAUGGGACGCCAACUGGGGUUCCAGGAGAGGCGCACCUCACAGAAUGAACUCCGGCCCGCCUCAAAGGUUUAAGAACCUUCGGCCUACGCAGGGCCAGAACCACUCCAACCACGCAGAGUUCCUCGAGAAGUAAUCAAGAAUGGUGGAAGAGUGUAAGAUUUUACAAAACGACACAAGAAAAGUACCACGCACUCCAGUCCAAGAGAGCACAGUGGAAGAAUGCACGAGUUUGCAGUUAAAGGUCCCAGCUGGUGAUGGCGCCCACCAAUUGCUCUCAACGCCGCCUGCCCACCCACCGAAGACGACAAGCACCACGUUGUCUUGGUUGUCUCUUUUUCUUCUGGUUUCCUUUUCUUUGCUCCUCCAUAUUUGUGGCAAGGUAACGUUGAAGUCGUUUGCAGAUCUACUGUACUUUAUUUAGAUCCGUCACAUUAAAACCAUGUUAUAGUAAUAAAAACAAAAAUAAUCA